rnacentral:rRNA from 1 species
UUUUGACCUCGGAUCAGGUAGGGAUACCCGCUGAACUUAAGCAUAUCAAUAAGCGGAGGAAAAGAAACCAACAGGGAUUGCCCUAGUAACGGCGAGUGAAGCGGCAACAGCUCAAAUUUGAAAUCUGGCUCUUUUAGAGUCCGAGUUGUAAUUUGCAGAGGGCGCUUUGGCUUUGGCAGCGGUCCAAGUUCCUUGGAACAGGACGUCACAGAGGGUGAGAAUCCCGUACGUGGUCGCUGGCUAUUGCCGUGUAAAGCCCCUUCGACGAGUCGAGUUGUUUGGGAAUGCAGCUCUAAAUGGGAGGUACAUUUCUUCUAAAGCUAAAUAUUGGCCAGAGACCGAUAGCGCACAAGUAGAGUGAUCGAAAGAUGAAAAGCACUUUGGAAAGAGAGUCAAACAGCACGUGAAAUUGUUGAAAGGGAAGCGCUUGCAGCCAGACUUGCUUGCAGUUGCUCAUCCGGGCUUUUGCCCGGUGCACUCUUCUGUAGGCAGGCCAGCAUCAGUUUGGGCGGUGGGAUAAAGGUCUCUGUCACGUACCUCUCUUCGGGGAGGCCUUAUAGGGGAGACGACAUACCACCAGCCUGGACU